CAGGAGAGGUGGUUACCUACUGGAGAGGCUCUCGCCACGGCCUCUGCCUCUGUCACAGCUUCAGGCUUCUUGUCCUUUCUCUGGCGGGCCAGACCCAGACUUGUGACCAUGCACAGGUUCCUGAGCCGGACCAGGAGUGACCAGCGGACAUUUGGGAGUCACCUCUGGCUCGUUGUGUGUGGGCGUGGUCGUGGAGGGAGAGGAAGGCUCCGGGCCACAGGAUACAGGGGCAGGUCUCCGGCAUCUGGCUGAGUGAGACGUGAGGGACCCCCCUGCCCACACUGGCACGGGGCCUCUGCCCGGCCAGACACACCUGCCCCCUCCCACGCUGCAAGGGGCACAUCUUCUUCCUGUUGCCGCUGCAAGAAGACACAAAUCCUCACCCAGUGAAGAGCGAGUCAGCGGGUGGGCCAGCGCAGCACGCAUGAUACAUGGCGAAAUACGGGGUGGUCCCUGAGCACGUCGGAGAAGCCUGUAGGGUGCUGCCGUAACUGGAUGGUUACACUCUUCUGUGCAGACUGGCGUUUUCCCAUUUGUCUGUGACAUAGGAAGCUGCAAGAUGUCCACAGUAAAGCCAGUUUCAACCCAGUCCAGCCUGCAGAUAAAGACACGGCUUGGAAGUGGGAAGCUGACGGAGCCUGCGGAGGAUAGACUCACUGCCUCCCUGGCCUCCCAGGUGCUGUCCCUGUCACUGUGGUUUCUGGUCUCCUGGGGGCUCCUGGCACGUCUCUUGUUCUGCCGGGAGCACAGCGUCCACCUCUUGCCCUCGUCCGUGGCGCUUUGCCUGGGGACUCGGUUGAGCAAAAACACCGAUAUCAUAAAUUCAUUAAGUUUCACUUAAAUUUUUAUUUUUUAGUGUUUUUUAAAAAGAUUUUAUCUUUUUUUAGGCAGAGUAGAAGGGAGGGAGAGAGGGAGAGAAACAUCAGUGUGUGGUUGCCUCUCAUACGCCCCCUACUGGGGGCCUGGCCUGAGACCCAGGUGUGCGCCCUGACUGGGAAUUGAACUAGCAACCCUUUGGUUCACAGGCCAGUGCUCAGUCCACUGAGCCACACCAGCCAUGCCUGUAUGAAAAAAAUUUUUUUAAAGAACACUCACUUAUUGGGAUAAAUUCAGCAAAUACCAACCACCUACUGUACGGCAGUGAGCGAAAGCCACCGAGCCCGGGCCUCCGGAACUCCUGGUCUAGCGUGGUGGCGUGGCAGAACCAAACCUGCUGCGCUCACCUAGCACGAGCCGGGAUCCAGCCAGAUCAUAACCAUGGACCAUCUCCUGACGGGGCAGCGCCACCUUGCAGGCCGGACCUCGAGCAGCCCCGCCAGGCUCCAGGAUGCCCGGUCACGGGGCCGGUGCUCUUGCCCAGAGUUACUCCUUCCCUCCCAGGAGGGCUGCCUUCUCUCGUAGCCGAUGAGGAAGAGCGAGGACAUGGAAACCGGCUCUGGCCCCUGCUGGGCUCUUGCUGGUCACGGACUCUCUCCACGGAAUUUCCUCCACCGAAAAGGAGAGUUUGGACGCCAUGGCCUCUAGGGUGUCUACCGGCCGGGAAAGGCUCUGGCUCUUACCCAGAGAAAGGCCCUGCUGGACCAGACCCGCUUCUCUCUGUUCCCACAGCCCUGGCCCACCGAGCAGCCGCCCCCUGACUCCAGGUGGCUCCAGGUUAGUGCCCAGCGCCUGGGGGUGAGGUUCAGGCCUGUCCCUCCAGUCCUGUGUGCUGAUGCUGCUCACACUUGUCGCUUCCCAGGUGCAGGAGUUGCCCUGCUGGCUCUGGGUUCUCGCAGGAAGGAGCCCCGGGAAAGCAGAAAUCCGCUCCUGUCCUUCUACGCCCUGCAGAGGGCGCCCUGCCCCUGCAAUUGGUCUGUGUGCAUCUGGAGACAGUUGCUGAACUGAUCUGUUGUCUUCUCUGUGCUGAAUCACGCCUAUUUCUGUCCACCGCAUGUCUCUGAGCCGGGGCGGAGAGGACAGCAGGAGCGGGAAGC